rnacentral:rRNA from 1 species
GUGCCAGCCGCCGCGGUAAUACCGGCAGCACGAGUGAUGGCCGAUUUUAUUGGGCCUAAAGCGUCCGUAGCCGGCCGGACAAGUCCGUUGGGAAAUCCACGCGCUCAACGCGUGGGCGUCCAGCGGAAACUGUCCGGCUUGGGGCCGGAAGGCUCGAAGGGUACGUUCGGGGUAGGAGUGAAAUCCUAUAAUCCCGCACGGACCACCGAUGGCGAAAGCACUUCGAGAAAACGGAUCCGACAGUGAGGGACGAAAGCCAGGGUCUCCAACCGGAUUAGAAACCCCAGUAGUCC